rnacentral:lncRNA from 1 species
ACAAUGUGUGAGAGUUUUGAGUACACAGAUGUAAUUGGGUUAUAUUAUAGAAUGCCUGAUACUAUAUUCUGUGGGCAUUUUUCAAAUCUUAAAGAUGAUGAUGACCUAAAUAUGAUGUUAGAUGCUGUUAUAGAUUAUAAAUAUAUUGAGAUUUAUCAUGAGCAUGAUUGUGAAGGGGGUAAACAGGCUAAACAACCUACACAAACUGAACAUGCUAGUGAUAGGAAAAAACAGGCUAAGAAGGUG